rnacentral:rRNA from 1 species
UGAAAGCAUCUAAGCGGGAAACUUGCCUCAAGAUUAGAUCUCUAUAAUCCCGUAAAGGGAGUAAGAUCGCAGGUAGACUACCUGCUUGAUAGGCAGUAUGUGUAAGCGCAGUAAUGCGUUGAGCUAAACUGUACUAAUGAUCGAGAGCUUC